rnacentral:rRNA from 1 species
UACGUAGGGGGCGAGCGUUGUCCGGAAUCAUUGGGCGUAAAGGGCGCGUAGGCGGCCCGGUAAGUCCGCUGUAAAAGUCAAAGGCUCAACCUUUGAAUGCCGGUGGAUACUGUCGGGCUAGAGUCCGGAAGAGGCGAGUGGAAUUCCCGGUGUAGCGGUGAAAUGCGCAGAUAUCGGGAGGAACACCAGUGGCGAAGGCGGCGCUCUGGGCCGGAACUGACGCUGAGGAGCGAAAGCGUGGGUAGCAAACAGG